rnacentral:tRNA from 1 species
GGGCCUGUCAUCUAAUGGAUAGGAUACGUGGCUUCGGACCAUGGCGUCGGGGUUCGAAUCCCUGCAGGCCCA